rnacentral:tRNA from 1 species
UGAAUAAUAGUUAAAAUUUUAUAACAUUUAAAUUGCAUUUAAAAAUUAUUUCAUUAAAUUUAUUUUU